rnacentral:rRNA from 1 species
GGAAAAGAAACUAACAAGGAUUCCCCUAGUAACUGCGAGUGAAGCGGGAAAAGCUCAAAUUUAAAAUCUGGCAGCCUUUUGACUGUCCGAGUUGUAGUCUGGAGAAGCGCUUUCCGUGCUGGACCGUGUACAAGUCUCUUGGAACAGAGCGUCAUAGAGGGUGAGAAUCCCGUCUUUGACACGGACUGCCAGUGCUUUGUGAUGUGCUCUCAAAGAGUCGAGUUGUUUGGGAAUGCAGCUCAAAAUGGGUGGUAAAUUCCAUCUAAAGCUAAAUAUUGGCGAGAGACCGAUAGCGAACAAGUACCGUGAGGGAAAGAUGAAAAGCACUUUGGAAAGAGAGUUAAACAGUACGUGAAAUUGCUGAAAGGGAAACGCUUGAAGUCAGUCGUGUUGGCCAGGACUCAGCCUUGCCUUUGGCUUGGUGUAAUUUCUGGUUGACGGGCCAGCAUCGAUUUUGACUGUUGGACAAAGGCUGGAGGAAUGUGGCACCUUCGGGUGUGUUAUAGCCCUCAGUCACAUACAAUGGUCGGGAUCGAGGACCGCAGCACGCCUUUAUGGCCGGGGUUCGCCCACGUCCGUGCUUAGGAUGCUGGCAUAAUGGCUUUAAACGACCCGUCUUGAAACACGGACCAAGGAGUCUAACAUGCCUGCGAGUGUUUGGGUGUCUAAACCCGAGCGCGCAAUGAAAGUGAAAGUUGAGAUCCCUGUCGUGGGGAGCAUUGACGCCCGGACCUGAUCUUCGGUGAUGGAUCUGCGGUAGAGCAUGUAUGUUGGGACCCGAAAGAUGGUGAACUAUGCCUGAAUAGGGUGAAGCCAGAGGAAACUCUGGUGGAGGCUCGUAGCGAUUCUGACGUGCAAAUCGAUCGUCAAAUUUGGGUAUAGGGGCGAAAGACUAAUCGAACC